rnacentral:rRNA from 1 species
GACGAACGCUGGCGGCGUGCUUAACACAUGCAAGUCGAGCGGUAAGGCUCCUUCGGGAGUACACGAGCGGCGAACGGGUGAGUAACACGUGAGUAAUCUGCCCUUCACUUCGGGAUAACCACCGGAAACGGUGGCUAAUACCGAAUACGACCAGUCUUCGCAUGAGGUGCUGGUGGAAAGUCUUUUCGGUGAAGGAUGUGCUCGCGGCCUAUCAGCUUGUUGGUGGGGUAAUGGCCUACCAAGGCUUCGACUGGUAGCCGGCCUGAGAGGGUGACCGGCCACACUGGGACUGAGACACGGCCCAGACUCCUACGGGAGGCAGCAGUGGGGAAUAUUGGACAAUGGGCGAAAGCCUGAUCCAGCAACGCCGCGUGAGGGAUGACGGCCUUCGGGUUGUAAACCUCUUUCAGUACCGACGAAGCGCCCUGUCGGGUGGUGACGGUAGGUACAGAAGAAGGACCGGCCAACUACGUG